AGGGGCGGAGCUAGAAAAUUUAGUCAUUGGGUUCACUCAUUUUGUGCUAGCAAUGAGAUUACCUAGGUGGUCAUUGCUUGCCGAAAACUGUCCCAAUGACACCUUCUUCACAGACAUCUCGGCUUGUGGGGACAAAAAAAAAAUUCCCAUCCCCAUCGAGGUUUUUCCUCCCCGAGGAACCCGGUUUUUUGUGGUUGCUAGGUUAGAGUUUUUUGGGCCUUGGGCCCGAUCAAGCCUAUUUUAGGCGCCGCAGCGGCUGGAAAAAAAUUGGGUUAGAUGGGUAGGAUUAGGUUGAGGCUAAUGGUUUUUUGGGGACCACAUGUGAGGUGUUCAUAGGUAAGGCGGGUGCUCGUCUAGGGAUGCAGGGCAGCGUCCCGCAUACGCCCGUAAAAGUAGGGACUAAUUUAAAUUCAAACCAAGUCGCUAAAAAAGCAUACAACUAAGGUAAUAUGUUUUAACUACGCAGCGGGGUGGAUCGGGCGCCGCCUUGAAUCCCUAUUGUCUGAAUUAAAAUUGCUACAUCCCCAUUCCAUAGCACAGUAAUUACCUGCAGUGAAGGGGUAAAGGGUACUAUUUGCAUCUGAUCGAUUUCUCUUUGAGAAAUGUCGCCAUAGUCUAGAUCGAUCAAAGUUUAGGGGAAAAUCAAUUAGAAAACUAGGGCAAAGAUGUUGUUGUAUUAGGCUACUAGGUUAAACAGGAGAUGCAUAAGAGGGAAGAGACGUGGAUGUGAUAUUACCUUCAAAUUUAUACUGCAAUUCCCGCUGCUGACCUCUCCUCGUCGGCGAUGCUGGCGGCUGGAUGAUGGGCGUGAGAUCACGUUUUUUUUUUUGAGGGGGCACAGGAGAGAUCUCGUGAUGAGGAUGCAAACAGGGGACAGGGGAGACGAGAGGCUUUUGUGGCCUGCAGAGUACACAUUAUCACAUUUAGUUGUGGGCUUUUUUGUUUGUUUUUUACAACUAUUUUGUGGGCUUUUGGUUGGGCAUUCAUUUGAUAAAUUUUUAAGGGACUGAGAAGCAGGCAGGUGCGUUCCAAGUUCGAUGGGUUCAGGCGUGAGUUUCUAUUGGGUUCAUAAAAAACUCGUACCCAUAUACACGUACGUGCAGCAAAAAGAUCGUUGGGUUCAACUGAACCCAACGGCUGUACGCUAGCUCCGCCACUGG
rnacentral:lncRNA from 1 species